ensembl:processed_transcript Gm14643 predicted gene 14643
ACACUAAAUUCUUUGUAAAGUGAGGACUUCUGCCACAUUUUCCAGCCACUGUGCCGCUCUGACCCUGUAACAGAGGAAAGUGAACAUGCACUGAAACCUCAGAAAUGUGAGGCAAAAUAAAUUUUUCUUCAUAUUAACUGCUUGAAUGAUUGAAGGUCAUGCUGCUCAUAUACACAUUGAGGACUAGGAUGGUUCGGGAAUUUAUACUGCUAAGAACCAGACAUUUGUUAAUGCAGACACUGAGCCACCAACCAGGCAGCAUAGACUAGUUCAUAUGAGGCCCCCAACACAUAUGCAGCAGAGGACUUCCUGGAUUGGACUCAGAGAAUAGACACCUAACCCUGGAGAGACUUGAGGGUCCAGAGAAUUUUGUGUAUGUCCUACAAAGAGGAACUAUUCUAAAAGUAAUGAGUCUGACAUUGCCAGAUGCUCUUCUAACCAAGGAGUAAUGAAGUGAAACAGGCAAAGAAGAUGCAGAGCAUAAAGAUAAACAUUACCACCUAGGCACUUCUCAUUUCUUCAUCUGUAUGCUGUGAUGCAUAUCCACUCUAAGACUGAAAUUAAAAUAAGGUCACUGUUACAAGGGUGUAAACUUGUGGGAAGGACAUCUGCUUGGAGGAAGAAGCCCCAGGAGGAUAUGCUAUGCACAUAUAAUCAACCACCUAGGAAAAUAUUUUCAUUCUCUGGACUCAUUUCAAAUCGGUUAAGCCAUUCAGUUCUUACAUGCAUUUACAGACUUGAUACAAUGAUGCUUAUCUACCAGUUCUGCAAAUGACAAACCUUGGCAUUUUUCAUGUAUUUCUAAUUCUGUAGACAGGUAGGAUGUUUAGUGAAUACCAGUUACUUUUAAGUGUAAUGAAAAUUUGUUAAUAGUAGAAGUAAUAGCAUCUACAUUUGAAAAGACUAAGUACCAUAGAAUCUCAUUCUCAGUACUAGAUAAUUUAAUAUUCUAUAAAUCAAUGUAUUUAAGUUUCAUACUCAAUGAUAGGAAAAUAAGUUAAAUUUGUUUGCAUUUAUUUAUUCUAAUUUUUCUUUUGUUUUUUGAGAUUAUAAUAUAAUUAUAUUUUUGCUUCCCUUUCCUUCUUCCAAACCCUCCUUUCUCUCUUGCAAAUUCAUGGGCCUUUUUUUAUUGUUUGUUUGUUGUAUGUUAUUAGAUGUUAUUAUGAUAGAUGUUUUUAGGGCUGAUCUGUUUUUUCUAUAUAUGUGUUUUGCAUAUAUAUAUAUAUAUGUAUAUAUAUGUGUGUGUGUGUGUGUGUGUGUGUGUGUGUGUGUGUGUGUGUUUCACACAUGUACCUGGUGUUGACGGGAGGUAGAUUAUAUCCUGGAAGUGGAGUUAAAAAUGACUGAGAGUCUUCACAUAGAUACUGGGAACUAAACCCAGAUUCUCCACAGGAUUGGCAAGUACUUAUAACUGCAGCACCACCUCUCAUGCCACAUGAAUUAUAUUUUAUUAAAAUUAAAGAUGUCUAUUCUCUAAGGAGAUAUGCUACAGGGAGUGAAACAAAUACUGAACAGUUGACUUAUCUAAUAAAACACAUGUAAUAAAAGUAUACAAAAUAAAGUUAAAACCCAACACUAAGAAGGCAAAACUCAAUUUUAAAUGGUCAAGCAAUCUAAAAAUAUCAAAUGCUAGUUGUAAUGCAUUACUAAAGCUAAAAUAGUAAAUGUAUAGUAAAUACUCCAUUCUUCUAUAAACAUUUUAGCAAACGAAUUGUUGAAUCU